UACAGAGGGUGCAAGCGUUAAUCGGAGUUACUGGGCGUAAAGGGCGCGUAGGCGGUAUGGCAAGCAGGAUGUGAAAUCCCCGGGCUUAACCUGGGAACUGCAUCCUGGACUGCUGUUCUGGAGUACUGUAGAGGAUAGUGGAAUUUCCGGUGUAGCGGUGAAAUGCGUAGAGAUCGGAAGGAACACCAGUGGCGAAGGCGACUGUCUGGACAGAUACUGACGCUGAGGCGCGAAAGCGUGGGGAGCAAACAGG
rnacentral:rRNA from 1 species